rnacentral:rRNA from 1 species
UCGCGUCAGGAUAUGCCUAGGCUCGGGAUAAGCUAGUUGGUGAGGUAAGGGCUCACCAAGGCGACGAUCCCUAGCUGGUCUGAGAGGAUGAUCAGCCACACUGGAACUGAGACACGGUCCAGACUCUACGGGAGGCAGCAGUGGGGAAUAUUGCACAAUGGGCGCAAGCCUGAUGCAGCCAUGCCGCGUGUGUGAAGAAGGCCUUCGGGUUGUAAAGCACUUUCAGUCGUGAGGAAGGUAGUGUAGUUAAUAGCUGCAUUAUUUGACGUUAGCGACAGAAGAAGCACCGGCUAACUCCGUGCCAGCAGCCGCGGUAAUACGGAGGGUGCGAGCGUUAAUCGGAAUUACUGGGCGUAAAGCGCAUGCAGGUGGUUUGUUAAGUCAGAUGUGAAAGCCCGGGGCUCAACCUCGGAAUAGCAUUUGAAACUGGCAGACUAGAGUACUGUAGAGGGGGGUAGAAUUUCA